ensembl:lncRNA
UGCACGCGCGCGUGUGCGCGCUCACGAAAUGAUUUUUGCUGUGUAAAAAUGUUUUUUUUCUGGUGGAGGCUGUUACUUUGAGGAGAGGCUUGCAGACCCCAACAUGACAAGGGACCUGCCCCAGGGAGAGGGGCUGGCCUCGUGUCCCCAGCCAUCUGGUGAACCCUGACACAGCCUGCUCGAGGCCUCCAGCGGCUCACUCCCCAGACCCGGUGCCAGCCGUUCCCACACCUCCUGCCACUCGGCCCAGCUUGCUCUGACCACCAGAGAAGUGGUCUCCAUGGCGACCUUGGGCCUUAAGGAAUCCUAACACAUCCACUGAUGCUGACAAAAGUCUCUGAGAAUCCAAGCCGGCUCUCCUGUAUGCAGGUGUAAUGACCCAGGUCAGUUACUUAACAUCUCCGGCCUCAGUUUUGUCAUCUGUAAAAUGUAUUAAAAAAUAAAUAAACACAGAGAGUCUGUGAAGCCCUAAGUGCAAUGCCAGGCAGCUAGUAGGUGCUCAAUAAAGCUUUCUCUAUUUGAUCUGUUGCUCGAGGUGGGGAAACAGGCCUGGACCCUGUUCUCAGGAUUCCCCAUGGCUUCUACCUUCCUCUGUGAGCAACUUCUUGAGAGAGUCUUCUUCCUCCCCCAUCCAAACUUACCCAUCCGACGACUCUCAUCAUCUGGGCCCUGCAGAACACUGGUUCAUCUCUGAUAAACAAAUCCAUCCUCAAAUUUGGAGGCUUCAUUUGGAGGCUUUCAGGGGAUUUUUGCAUCUUAGAAGAAGAUUCCCAGAGAUGAUAAUAAAUUAAUUCCAAGACAAAAUCUUGGAAGGGGAAAAAGUUCCAGGCACCAGAUUGGGGGGUGGUGGGCGUCACUGAGGCUCAGCAAAGUCGGGCAAUAUGUCCAGAGCCACACAGCAGGUCAGUGGCAGGAUUUGAACCCAGGCCUGCUUUUCAAUUGAGCUCACGCAGCAUUCACCCUUUGCUUUGCGCCUCACCUGUUAAUUAUCAGGGGAGAUGAUCUCUCAGCUGCCCUCAGGAGCCAACAGCAGGAAUUAAGAUCAAAGAGCGUUUGUAACGAAGACCUCUGGCUGUGCAAGGACCCGGCAGGCUUCUCCUCAGCCUGAGCCUUUUCCUAAAACUCAAGAAGAUGAUUCUUUCCCUCCGGAGCCCCCGCAGCACAGCCCCUUGAGGCCUCCUCUUCUCCCUGUUUGUCCCCUGCUUUCCUGAGGGCUCCAGGUGUCAGGAAGAGAAGAGAAAGGUAAGGAACUAACACUGGAGACCGCCGAGCUCCAGCAGGCGGCGUUGUCCAGCUGUGCCCUGCGUGUAACGAAGACCUGCAGGGCCCAAUCCCAGGCACCUCGGUGGCUCCAGUCUCCGAAGGCCGAGCCCGGGCCCAGCCCGGGUCAAGCCGGUGGGAUUCACCGAAGCCCGAGAGCGAGUUGAUUGGUCUCUCCGCUCAUUCAUUCCCCGGAGCGCUCGGGUGCCCUCCAACCCCUCCUAGAGACGGUGAACAGCCCCUUCCCUUCGGGCCCCCGACACUUAAUUUUCCUCCAGGACCCGGAAGAGGAAAUGCCAGGGCGGGCAGAGUUAAUGGCAAAGCAGGGGAAGAGUGCCCGUCCUGUAGGAGGCAGCAUGCACCAGACUUCUCCUUUUCGGCCUUUUCAGAAUGGCAAAAUGUGGCCUUGUGUGGUGGCGCACACCUGU